CUACUACUCCCUCCGUGCGGAAAUACUUGUCGGAUGAAUGGAUGUAUCUAGAUGUAUUUUAGUUUUAGAUGCAUCCAUUUAUAUUCAUUUUCGUGACAAGUAUUUUCGGACGGAGGGAGUAUUUU
rnacentral:pre_miRNA from 1 species